rnacentral:sRNA from 1 species
AUGACUGCACAGCCGCCAGGCCCACCUGACGACUGUUCGCUACGUUUUGUUGGCC